rnacentral:rRNA from 1 species
UACGAAGGGCCCGAGCGUUGUUCGGAAUGACUGGGCGUAAAGGGAGCGUAGGCGGCGUGGCAAGCCAGGUGUGAAAUGCCGGGGCUCAACCCCGGAACUGCAUCCGAUACUGCCGUGCUUUGAGGGGUGGAGAGGCAGCUGGAAUUCACGGUGUAGCAGUGAAAUGCGUGGAAAUCAUGAGGAGCACUCGUGGCGAAAGCGAGCUGCUGGACACCACCUGACGCUCAAGCUCGAAGGCCGGGGGAGCGAAAGGU